rnacentral:rRNA from 1 species
UACGGAGGGGGCUAGCGUUGUUCGGAAUUACUGGGCGUAAAGCGCACGUAGGCGGCUUUGUAAGUUAGAGGUGAAAGCCCGGGGCUCAACUCCGGAAUUGCCUUUAAGACUGCAUCGCUAGAAUUGUGGAGAGGUAAGUGGAAUUCCGAGUGUAGAGGUGAAAUUCGUAGAUAUUCGGAAGAACACCAGUGGCGAAGGCGACUUACUGGACACAUAUUGACGCUGAGGUGGCGAAAAGCCGUGGGGAGCAAACAGG